AAUAGAAUGAUAAAUCAAUUAUAUGAAGCCAACCAAUUAGUUAUUGAACAUGCAGGAAAACUUAAUUAACUAUGGGCAAUCACUUCUAUACCUAUUGUGCAGGUUUUAUCUAGAAAUUCAUACACCAUUCACUAAAUGGUAAUUCUUCAACAUAAUAUUGGGGGACAAAAAUAUCAUCUAAUCUAAUAUACACAAGCCACUAAUUUUGGGGACAAAAAUUAAAACACACCCAUACAGUGGCGGAUCUUGCCCGAAAUAUUGGGGGAGCCGCAACUAUUAUAUCCAAAUGAGAGUUUUUUUUUUUAACAAUAUAUCCAAAUGAGAGUUUCAAUAUUUUUUUAAAAAGUAAAGGUAUAUGAUCAGAGGCAUACCUUUGUAUAUUAGAGAAAUUAGGGAACAUAAACAACCAAAUUGAAAUCACCAAAAACUAACCACCUAUUUCUAGAAUUAUCGCUGUACAGCUGACUAAAAAGAUUACAAGUCAGAUGCUUUUUAUUAUCUUGCAAGUACAAGGCUGCUCAUCUGGUUGAAUCAUUGCAUUAUUACUCCU
rnacentral:lncRNA from 1 species